UACAGAGGGUGCAAGCGUUGUUCGGAAUUAUUGGGCGUAAAGGGUGCGUAGGCGGUUCCGCAAGUCCUGUGUGAAAUCUUCGGGCUCAACUCGAAGUCUGCACGGGAAACUGCGGGGCUUGAGUGUGGGAGAGGUGAGUGGAAUUCCUGGUGUAGCGGUGGAAUGCGCAGAUAUCAGGAGGAACACCGGUGGCGAAGGCGGGUCUCUGGGCCGUUACUGACGCUGAGGAGCGAAAGCAUGGGGAGCGAACAGG
rnacentral:rRNA from 1 species